rnacentral:rRNA from 1 species
AUUGAACGCUGGCGGCAGGCCUAACACAUGCAAGUCGAGCGGCAGCGGGAAAGUAGCUUGCUACUUUUGCCGGCGAGCGGCGGACGGGUGAGUAAUGCCUGGGGAUCUGCCCAGUCGAGGGGGAUAACUACUGGAAACGGUAGCUAAUACCGCAUACGCCCUACGGGGGAAAGCAGGGGACCUUCGGGCCUUGCGCGAUUGGGUGAACCCAGGUGGGAUUAGCUAGUUGGUGAGGUAAUGGCUCACCAAGGCGACGAUCCCUAGCUGGUCUGGGAGGAUGAUCAGCCACACUGGAACUGAGACACGGUCCAGACUCCUACGGGAGGCAGGAGUGGGGAUUAUUGCACAAUGGGGGAAACCCUGAUGCAGCCAUGCCGCGUGUGUGAAGAAGGCCUUCGGGUUGUAAAGCACUUUCAGCGAGGAGGAAAGGUUGGUAGCUAAUAACUGCCAGCUGUGACGUUACUCGCAGAAGAAGCACCGGCUAACUCCGUGCCAGCAGCCGCCGUAAAAC